GUGGCCAGCGGGCUGGUUUAAAGAGCUGUUUUAGUUCCAUGGAAACAGAUCUGCUGGUCGCGCGACGGGAGCUGUUUUAGUUCCACGGAAACAGAUUUGCUGGGCGCGCGACGGAGCUACAGGCUUGUGGAUGGCUUAGGGGUGAGGCUGCCGGGCCCGGAAGCUGAGGUGGGCGGCUCAGGGAAGAGACCACUCGUCAGAACAAGGUCACUCCCAGGCCGAGUCCAGGCCCGCCCUCCAGACCUUAAGAGCCUCGGUUUACCUUGCCUCACUCUGCCUGGCUGUGAAAACCACCUCGAGCUAAGUUGGCUUUGCUCGGACCACAGCUGCAGGACGGUGGCCAGUCUCUGAGACCUGUGCUUGAGCCACCGUUCGUUCCCCCUUUAGGUACGGUUAGUUGGACGUUCCUGGGAAGGCCUUUUCAACAUUAAGGUUUGGAUUUCUGCCACUGGUUAUCGUCCCUGGCUCGCUUCCUAGACAAGAGGCGUUUUCAUUUGUGCAUUGUUUCGUUCUUGUUCUGGAAUAGAUCUUUGUGAAAUAUUUACUGUCAUGUUUGGCACCCACAACAUCCAAGGUACAAUGCUAGGCUCAAGAACAACAGCAACAAAGGACUGUAACCCUACUUGAAGACUUACUGGUCAACGUGGGAUACACACACACAGAGAGAGAGAGAGAGAGAGAGACUCUUGGGUUCCUGUGGACUCCCCCAGGGAAAAGGAAUGACAGGCGGGGAGGAGGAUGAUAAAGAACCGUUUUAACCAGCUGCUUUUCAGGCAUUAUUUGGGACAUAACACGUAACUCUUAGCUUCAUCUGAUAAAAGUGCAUGCUCCGUGGUCAGGAAGAUCCUUUCUGAUGCCGACAGCAGAUGUCUCCCGUAUCUGGAGACCCUUUUGAGACAUGAAUAUAAAUGUGUCAUGGCAUAAGCUUAAAUGUCAGUAAUCCCUUUGCAAAUGACUUGGUCAAUGGUUUGAUGAGAACAUCAGGAACUUCACCUGCGCAGACUCGGUGGAGAGGCAGUGCUUAGGGGGAAAUUCUAUUUUACAUCAAGAAGAGAAAAACCUGAAGCCAGAAAGGAUAACCUCAAAUGGGAGGAACCUGAGGUGUAGUCCAGUAGGGUGCCUGCCACGCCCGUUUGGUGGCAUGUGCCUGUAAUUCCAGCUUUGGGAGGUGGAGGCUUGAUCAGAAGCUCAGAGUCGUCCUCAGUGCACAAUGACCUGUCUGUUGGAGAAAGUGGGAUAUUAAAAUCACCUACUAUUAAUCACGUUAAUCAGUGUCUUUAAAUCCAGAAGUGGAUUUUUAAAAAAUGAAUUUAGACACCCUGGAAUUCAAUGUAUAUAUGUUUAGGAAGUAUCUUCUUGGUUAACUCUUCCCUUGAUUAGAAUGAAGUGCAUAUGGAAACUACAGUGUGCAGACCAGUCCUGUCUCCAACGCACAUCAACGCAGCAGCUUCUGAAACGUUCACAGUACUUCAGCAGAAGAUGAGAAUAGCUGAGCAGCAGACCAGCUCUCUGAGAGAUGACCUAAUAAUGCUAAGCUGUGGUGACAAACGGUAACUGGAUUGCCGCAGCUGCAGAAUUUUAACUUGACGCUUAGUAAAAAGCAGAUGAGAUAGAUACUUCUGGAAAAUGUUUCCAUACGAACUUUGACACAAGCCUAUUUUUAGCUAGAGUUGUGGUUCUGUGAUAGUAUGUGUCUUAGUUACUUCUGCUGUGAUGAAACACUGUGACCAAGGCAACUUAUAGAAGAAAGGGCUCAUUUGAGGUUUACUGUUCUAAGAGAUGAUUUCAUGGUGGACUGCAGAUUAAAGGCAAGAGGGUACCUGGAGCAGCAGCUGGGAGCUCACAUCUUGAGUGGCAAUCAAGAAACAGAGAAGAUACUGGAAAUGGCAGAGUCUUUUGAAACUUUAAAGCCCUCCCUCAGUGACAUACUUUCUUCAACAAGCGCACACCUCCUAACCUUCACAAACAGGGCUAGCAACUUGGGGAUUAACUAUUCAAACCACCAUAUGUUAGCCAGAUUUUUGUUGCUACAGCGGAAAUACCCUUGAGGACAUCUUAAGGGAGGAAGGACUUAUUUUCAGAUCAGCAUUUCAGAAGGUUGGGGUCUUGGUUUCUUGGCCUGUCACUGUGGGCCUGAGGCGAGGCAGAGCAUCAUGGCAGAUAAGACGUAGAUUUCCUUUAGCAGUGCCCCAGCUUUAUGGCUUCUCCAGGCUCACUCAUCUAGGUUCCCUCUGCUCUGUCACCUUAACUCCGUGCUGGAUAGAGUGGCUGCGCACUAUGCCUUCAGCAUUUGACCCCUUGACAAGCACUUUAUGUACAAACCAUAACAUAGAGCAAU